ensembl:snoRNA
AGGUGGCAAUGAUGAUUUUUGUAUUUGUUCACCUGACAACAUAUGAAGGUGCUCAGUCACUACCUCAUCUGAUGCCAUCU